GAUGAACGCUAGCGGGAGGCCUAACACAUGCAAGCCGAGCGGUAUUUGUUCUUCGGAACAGAGAGAGCGGCGCACGGGUGCGGAACACGUGUGCAACCUGCCUUUAUCUGGGGGAUAGCCUUUCGAAAGGAAGAUUAAUACCCCAUAAUAUAUUGAGUGGCAUCACUUGAUAUUGAAAACUCCGGUGGAUAGAGAUGGGCACGCGCAAGAUUAGAUAGUUGGUGAGGUAACGGCUCACCAAGUCAAUGAUCUUUAGGGGGCCUGAGAGGGUGAUCCCCCACACUGGUACUGAGACACGGACCAGACUCCUACGGAAGGCAGCAGUGAGGAAUAUUGGACAAUGGGUUAGCGCCUGAUCCAGCCAUCCCGCGUGAAGGACGACGGCCCUAUGGGUUGUAAACUUCUUUUGUAUAGGGAUAAACCUACUCUCGUGAGAGUAGCUGAAGGUACUAUACGAAUAAGCACCGGCUAACUCCGUG
rnacentral:rRNA from 1 species